UACGGAGGAUCCGAGCGUUAUCCGGAUUUAUUGGGUUUAAAGGGUGCGUAGGCGGCCUUGUAAGUCAGGGGUGAAAGACGGUAGCUUAACUUUCGCAGUGCCUUUGAUACUGCAGGGCUUGAAUGUACUUGAGGUAGGCGGAAUGUGACAAGUAGCGGUGAAAUGCAUAGAUAUGUCACAGAACACCAAUUGCGAAGGCAGCUCACUAAAGUAUGAUUGACGCUGAGGCACGAAAGCGUGGGGAUCAAACAGG
rnacentral:rRNA from 1 species